GUUCCUGCGGCUGAAUGGUCAAUAGCGGCGGGCUCAAAAUCAUCUUUUGCCCCAAAAGUUCACAUCUUUUCAGGUAUA
rnacentral:tRNA from 1 species